GGGCCGCACGCGCGCUACACUGAUGCAUUCAACGAGUUUCCUUGGCCGAGAGGCCUGGGCAAUCUUUUGAACGUGCAUCGUGAUAGGGAUAGAUUAUUGCAAUUAUUAAUCUUGAACGAGGAAUUCCUAGUAAGCAUAAGUCAUCAGCUUGUGCUGAUUACGUCCCUGCCCUUUGUACACACCGCCCGUCGCUCCUACCGAUUGAAUGGUCCGGUGAAGUGUUCGGAUCGCG
rnacentral:rRNA from 1 species